UUUGACCUCGGAUCAGGUAGGGAUACCCGCUGAACUUAAGCAUAUCAAUAAGCGGAGGAA
rnacentral:rRNA from 9 species